CUUUAGCACAACAUGACUUUGUUGACAGCUUUCUCGACUUAUCGUUGUCGCAAGUUAAUUAUAUUCGAAACUCUCUUGUCUAUGUCUUGUAACAAGUCCUAUGUCUUGACAAGCUUAGGGUCAUACUAGAUGCAGUAUUAUGCAGCGGGAAUAUACUAGACGGGAUGCAACCCUUAUCAGCUGCACCCCGAAUGUUUUGGGAUUAUUUGGUUAUCGCAAAUAGAGGGAGUUUCAGCUGAUCGUGAUUUCCGCCGAUGGCCUACACCUCGGCUUCAGUUUCCGAUUUCUUUUUUUUCUAAUAAAAUAGUCGAUGAGUCAAGUCGUGGAAAGUUCGUGUUGGAAAAAGAUCAUAACCUGCGUCCGUGAGACUUUUUUUUGUCACUGGAACUAUUAUUAGAGCAAAAAUUUAAGCCGGAAAAAUCUUCGUUCGGCGUAGCCAUCGCGCAGCUGGAUUGCCGCCCAGACCCCAAGGUUCGAAUGGGGCAGCCACAGGCGUGCAGAAAGAGAGAAAAUAACCUAGUCAAGCCUUCUAGUGGAACGCCCUUCCCAUCGAGUGCCAGAGGAGAUGCAGCCGCAGCGGGACCGCAACCGGCGAUAAGCCGGGACCCUAAGAUGUUUAGUUAAGUUAAUUGUGAGGUUAAAGGCGCGGAAAAAAUUUAGCGGGAUUUUUUUUUUUUUUUUUUUUUUGUAAAUUUUAUUAAUUGGAAUUACACAGUGCGAAGUUCCUGAUGAAGCGAACAUCUAAAAAUCUAAAUUAAAAAUCUAAAUUAUAUGUACAAAUUCUAGAUGAGCCUGUCUGACCUAACCUACAUCGGAAAAUUUAUUAAUCCCCGAACCGCCAUUUUGAACUGAAAGAAAUGAAGUUGCAUUUUUAUAUGAUGUAUAUAUGACAAGUUGUCACAAUAAGCUAUAGAAAAAAUGUGUACUCGAGAAGGAGACCUAGUUUAUAUCACUUUUGUAUUUUCUAAUUGUAUUUAAAUUGAAUUCCUUUGAGUAUUUAAUAAUUUUUAUAUUAUGUAAGCUAACCUAAUCUAAUUAUUUUUCUAAGAUGAGUUCAUUUUCAGAGAGUGCGCGUUUAAAUUUUCGGGUUCAAUUUGGAAAAGUUUGUUUGCAGUCGUUUGAUUCGAAAUUUGAGUGAGAGUAUCCGUGUGUUCAUACAUUCUCAAAGUAUUCGUGGAAAAUGCCAUGUGUAUAGUUGUGAUGCCUCGCUGCUUUGGCAUCAUAGUAAUGGGGUUCGCAAAUACGAAUCAUAUAUGCACGAUUUAUCUUCAGUUUAUUUCUCCAUUUAAAUUCAUUUUUUUUGUAUACAUAAAAACUACGUCUUAUCGCUAUGACCGCAAAAUUACAAGAGCCCUUUAGAAAGAAUACAGCUGAGUUCAAUUAGCAUCGACACAUAGAAUGUUAAUCCGCUGUUAUGACAGCUGUAGCACCGGGUGACUCCGCUCAUAAUCCGUACACCAUGCUUUCAUUUCAGCUCAUUUGCGCAAAAAUUUUUAUUGGAAAUAUCCCACGAAAUAAACUGAGAAAAAUUACGUGAGGUCAUCGUUUUGAUGGCCAACAAAAUUUUAUUUUUUAUUAUACACAAAAGAAAAAAUCAUGGAAGCUAAAUAGUAAAACUAAAUAAAUUUGGGAAUUUUUUUUUAUUUAUUGUUAAACUUUGCUUUCCAUGUGUUUUAAAAGAAAAGAACGAAUUCGAAUGAACACACUGCGAAUAAAUUAUUUGUUUCCAAUGGAGUGUCGGAAGCAGCCGAUUGAAUAUGAAAAGAAAAAUCUAACCGAAUUUACUCGCGACCCACUCCCACACUUCUUUUUUAUUUUUUUCUUUAAUAAUUCAUUAUAAUAAUAAUAAAAAUAGUAAUUUAUGGAACAAGAUUAUAGAGAAGAAAACUGCACUGGAAAUUAUGGGAGAAUUUAAAUAAAUGAUUUGUUCCUUCUCUUAAAUAUAUAUUUAGAAACCGGUUUCUUUAAUAACUUUAUAAACUUUUUUUCUGAAUUCGCAAUCUUGUUAAAAAUCAACCCUAGUUCGAUAUGUCGUUAAGUUGCGACUCUGGUGUGAACUGUAUCUUAUACAUACAUAUUGUUGGGUCAUGCAGCCGCAUGAUAUCUCAUA